UUUUUUUUUUUUUUUUUUUAUUUUUUUUUUUUUUUUUUUUUUUUUUUUGGAAUUUUUGGCUUGUAUUCACAACAAGAGGC
rnacentral:ribozyme from 11 species